rnacentral:rRNA from 1 species
GAUGAACGCUCGCUACAGGCUUAACACAUGCAAGUCGAGGGGAAACGGCAUCGAAAGCUUGCUUUUGAUGGGCGUCGACCGGCGCACGGGUGAGUAACGCGUAUCCAACCUGCCCAUCACUUGGGAAUAACCUUGCGAAAGUAAGACUAAUGCCCAAUGACAUCCCACGAAGGCAUCCGAAUGGGAUUAAAGAUUUAUCGGUGAUGGAUGGGGAUGCGUCUGAUUAGCUUGUUGGCGGGGUGACGGCCCACCAAGGCAACGAUCAGUAGGGGUUCUGAGAGGAAGGGCCCCCACAUUGGAACUGAGACACGGUCCAAACUCCUACGGGAGGCAGCAGUGAGGAAUAUUGGUCAAUGGGCGAGAGCCUGAACCAGCCAAGUAGCGUGCAGGAUGACGGCCCUAUGGGUUGUAAACUGCUUUUAUAAGGGAAUAAAGUGGGUCACGUGUGACUUUUUGCAUGUACCUUAUGAAUAAGGACCGGCUAAUUCCGUG